ACAGUGUCUGGUGGGUAGUUUGACUGGGGCGGUCUCCUCCUAAAGAGUAACGGAGGAGCACGAAGGUUGGCUAAUCCUGGUCGGACAUCAGGAGGUUAGUGCAAUGGCAUAAGCCAGCUUGACUGCGAGCGUGACGGCGCGAGCAGGUGCGAAAGCAGGUCAUAGUGAUCCGGUGGUUCUGAAUGGAAGGGCCAUCGCUCAACGGAUAAAAGGUACUCCGGGGAUAACAGGCUGAUACCGCCCAAGAGUUCAUAUCGACGGCGGUGUUUGGCACCUCGAUGUCGGCUCAUCACAUCCUGGGGCUGAAGUAGGUCCCAAGGGUAUGGCUGUUCGCCAUUUAAAGUGGUACGCGAGCUGGGUUUAGAACGUCGUGAGACAGUUCGGUCCCUAUCUGCCGUGGGCGCUGGAGAACUGAGGGGGGCUGCUCCUAGUACGAGAGGACCGGAGUGGACGCAUCACUGGUGUUCGGGUUGUCAUGCCAAUGGCACUGCCCGGUAGCUAAAUGCGGAAGAGAUAAGUGCUGAAAGCAUCUAAGCACGAAACUUGCCCCGAGAUGAGUUCUCCCUGACUCCUUGAGAGUCCUGAAGGAACGUUGAAGACGACGACGUUGAUAGG
rnacentral:rRNA from 1 species